rnacentral:tRNA from 1 species
AUUAUUUUGACAGAUAAAAUGUUAUAAAUUUAGAAUUUAUUUAUGUAAAUAUAUAAUAGUUACAAAUAA